rnacentral:rRNA from 1 species
AUUGAACGCUGGCGGCAUGCCUUACACAUGCAAGUCGAACGGCAGCGCGGACUUCGGUCUGGCGGCGAGUGGCGAACGGGUGAGUAAUACAUCGGAACGUACCCUGUUGUGGGGGAUGACUAGUCGAAAGAUUAGCUAAUACCGCAUACGACCUGAGGGUGAAAGUGGGGGACCGCAAGGCCUCACGCAGCAGGAGCGGCCGAUGUCUGAUUAGCUAGUUGGUGGGGUAAAGGCCCACCAAGGCGACGAUCAGUAGCUGGUCUGAGAGGACGAUCAGCCUCACUGGGACUGAGACACGGCCCAGACUCCUACGGGAGGCAGCAGUGGGGAAUUUUGGACAAUGGGGGCAACCCUGAUCCAGCAAUGCCGCGUGUGUGAAGAAGGCCUUCGGGUUAUAAAGCACUUUUGUCCGGAAAGAAAUCGCGCUGGUUAAUACCUGGCGUGGAUGACGGUACCGGAGGAAUAAGCACCGGCUAACUACGUGCCAGCAGCCGCAGUAA